UGCGUCUUCCGACCGGCGAUCAGUAAGUUAAUAAAUUAGGAUACCCCAGAAUCUGGCGCUGCAACUAACUUAUCCUUAGUUAUGCCUACCUACAAGGACCCCGUCGUUGGAUGGACGGA
rnacentral:pre_miRNA from 12 species